GUAUGAACUGAAGCACGCUUCACAUAUCAGCAAGUUACCCAAGGGCAAGCACAGUGUCAAAGGUUUGGGCAAAACUACCCCUGAUCCUUCAGCUAACAUUAGUCUGGAUGGUGUAGACGUUCCUCUUGGGACCGGGAUUUCAUCUGGUGUGAAUGACACCUCUCUACUAUAUAACGAGUAUCCUUUCUUGAGUAUGCUGUGUGAGCACAAAGGGAUGUUCUCGAGCUACAGAGUCACUUAUGUGCUGUCAGAUUACCUGGGGCAGACAAGGAUUAGAGGCUGUCCUGUAGUGUGUCCCAUGGUGACUGUUUCCCUUCUGUGGUCCCUCCCUGUGCAUAGCCUGGCUUACAGGGUAUGAGCCUUCCCCCAGUUUCCAGAGGAUGAUCUCCUCUCCUCAGUCUGCCUGAAGAAGACUUAGAGUAACUUUCAGGCUGGCAU
rnacentral:lncRNA from 1 species